rnacentral:snRNA from 13 species
GCUUCAGCAGCAAACAUAUACUAAAAUAAAAACAAAAGGCAGAGAAAAUUAGCAUGGCCCUGCAUAAGGAUGAUGCACAGAUCUGUGAAGUGGUCCAUAUUUUG